CUGCUGCCUCCCGUAGGGGUUUGGACCGUGUCUCAGUUCCAAUGUGGGGGACCUUCCUCUCAGAACCCCUACGCAUCGUCGGCUUGGUGGGCCGUUGCCCCACCAACUACCUAAUGCGCCGCAUGCCCAUCCGUGACCGGGGUCGCCCCCUUUGGCCGGCAGGGGAUGUCCCCUCCCGGCAUUAUGUUGUAUUAGGCGGGAUUUCUCCCGGUUAUCCAUCUGUCACGGCCAGGUUGCAUACGUGUUACUCACCCGUGCGCCGGUCGCCGGCGGCGGAAAG
rnacentral:rRNA from 1 species